rnacentral:rRNA from 1 species
GACGAACGCUGGCGGCGUGCUUAACACAUGCAAGUCGAACGGAAAGGCCCUGCUUUGGUGGGGUGCGCGAGUGGCGAACGGGUGAGUAACACGUGAGUAACCUGCCCUUGACUUUGGGAUAACUUCAGGAAACUGGGGCUAAUACCGGAUAGGCGCUCCUGCUGCAUGGGGGGGGUUGGAAAGUUGCGGCGGUGGGGGAUGGACUCGCGGCUUAUCAGCGUGUGGGUGGGGUAGUGGCUUACCAAGGCUUUGACGGGUAGCCGGCCUGAGAGGGUGACGGGCCACAUGGGGACUGAGAUACGGCCCAGACUCAUACGGGGGGGAGCAGUGGGGAAUAUUGCACAAGGGGCGGGAGCGUGGUGCAGCAACGCCGCGUGCGGGAUGACGGCCUUCGGGUUGUAAACCGCUUUCGCCUGUGACGAAGCGUGAGUGACGGUAAUGGGUAAAGAAGCACCGGCUAACUACGU